UCCAAUAUUAGGACUUCCGUAGUAUAAAAAGAAAUUUUUAUGGUAAUAUAGUGCCAUUGUAUUAAAGAGAUCCAUAUUUAUUUUAUACAAUUUUCACCAUUUAUAAUGGGAGUAUAUAAACUCUAAGAAAAAUUACAUGAAAAACGAGGCGAAUUGAAAUAUCUUAGUAGCUUCAGGAAAAGAAAUCAAAAGAGAUUUUACCUAGUCGUGUGAACGAAAGUAAAAGAGCCUAUAUUAGUCCGAAUUAGCAGUCGGAGUAGUUACAAAGUAGAAUGGUUUAAAAACGGUUUGAAUAUUUGUUAAACUGAAUCGUGUAUUUACUGGGUAAAUCUUCACCCGACGGGCUUACAUUUCCCAGGUGAUGCAUUGGUUUGGUUUUACUGGGGAACCUUCCUCAAAGGCUAAAUAUGAUACAUGAGCAUCAGAGAAUAGUACCGUAAGGGAAUUAUUUAAAAUAGAAGUUUUAUAAGCAGCUUGAGAUAUUUUCUCAAAAAAGAGCGUACCUUUUGCAUAAUGGGUCACCAAGUUAACAUUAGAUGCAAGGAAUCUACCAUCCAUACACCGUCAAAAAAAAGAACGAUGAAGUGAAAAAAUAAGAGUGUAAAAUGGAAGAAAUGGAUGUAAAUUUGUUUCUUUUGUUCGCCUUAAAAAAGCGGAGUGUCCGAAGUCUCUUGACUGUGGGAGAUAUGUUACGGAGGUGUCUGCUUCCCGCCAGGUAUUUUAAGAUACCUUCCCCCCCCCCCCGGGGAAGUUGUACAAAUGAGGGGAGAUUUUCCUACUGGGAGUGUGUCCGAUGAACUAGGUCUUUUAAGUCCAGCGACACAUCGUGGUUAAUACCCACUUUGUGCGACGAUGGUUAAAGAAGACUAAUGGCAAUGGUAGUGCCCGUAGUUAAAACGAUCAUAACAGAAUAGAAAAUGAUAAGUGUCUAAAGUUAGACCCGAAGCCUAGUGAUCUUACUAUAGGCAGGGCUUUAGUGGCUCGAACGGAUAAUUGUUGCAAAAAUUUCCGAUGAACUAUGGUAAGCUAGUGAAAGACAAUUCUGACUAGGAUAGCUGGUUUUCUGCGAAACCUAUAAUAGUAGGCAAUUUAAGUAACAUUAUAGCAGGUACAGAACUUAAUCUCGGACCAGAUGUACAUAUUUCAUAUAUUUAUUAAAGAUAGCUAAAUAAAUAUCUAAGAUAAAUAUAUGAAAAUACAUUGUUUCGCUGGCACAUAUCGGGGGGCCGUAGCAAGCCCUAUCGGUGAGUAUGUAGACUCGGAAUGGCUUAUAUGGAUCUUGAAUGAUCAGACAUAGAAUGAUAAGGUUGUAUGUCCAAAAUUAUUGUUCAGUGAAAAUCAAGAAGGUACUCAUUAUAUUCGACCAGACGAUAGGCUUAGAAGCAGCCAUAAUUUAAAGACCUCGUAACAGAGCGCUGGUUAAAUCUUUAGGUGCAUCAAAAAUUUAACGGAUCUAAACAAUAUACCGAAACUUUGUCCUCAAUUAACUACUAAACCGAGAGGUAAAUCUGAAGGGGUAUUAAAAUAAUAAGAUCCUGGCAUAUACCUAAUAAUAUAUGAAAGUAUCUUAGACCUUAAUAUUGCCUUCUAGGGUUAAUUGCAGGGGUAGCAGAACGUUGGGUUAUAUUGGAUUUUGAAUUUUUUAAAUCAAAAUAAAAAUAAAUAGGUAAAAAAAAUGACUAAGUUUUGAACGCAAUCUUCAAAAUGUGAACUGGAAGAGGAAAUUACAGGGAAGGGUGGCGGCGCAAUCCCGUCAUCAGGUCAAAUGCUAGCAAAGCCGGGAACCUCCUCGGGAGUAUACAAUAGGGGUAUACGGAAAUAAACUCAAGUGAUAAUGGUGACAUGAGUAACGAAAAGAACUAAUAUAAGAAUACCUUCCUUUGGGGGGGUAGCUAAUCCACUAUGAUCCGGACGUAUUCUCUGGAAAUAGCGAGGGGCUUAUAUUAGACUCGCCUAAAGCUUAAGGUUACCCAGUCAAACGGCCUCUAAGUUUAUAAUCUAAAGGUUAAAACGAUGAGUUAACAGUUGCUAAUUGCUAGUAUAUGCUCCCUUCCCCUACAUUGCUGCAUAUCGUGUACAACAUUAGGGUGUAAAAUGAAGUUAACUGUUUCUCAUUUUAUGUAAGUGGUAAAUGUGCUGGAAAAUACCGAUAUGUUGUAGUAAUUAGUGGCUAUAGCUCUAGCACGGGGGGAUAGAGUAUAGUCGUCAACCGUACCUGGAAACUACCUAACAAGGAAGCUAGUAGAGAAUACGAAGGCGUAAGAGAUAACAAUCAUAAAAAAGGAACUCGGCAAAUUGAUACCAAAACUUCGGGAAAAGGUAGGCUCGAGUACUUGAUUAAUACAAAGUAUAUUGGAAGAAGCAUAAAAAGAUGUUGUACGACUGUUUAAUUAAAACACAGCACUCUGCCCAAGAUGAUAAAUCUAAGUAUUGAGUGUGAGACCUGCCCGGUGCCGGCUGGUUAACGGAAAUAACUAAAUUGUCAAAAAUUUGGUGUAGAAGGAACCCCCGGCUAAUGGCGGCCUUAUACCUGAGGGUCCUAAGGUAGCGGAAUACCUUGGCCGUUAAAUGCGGUCUUUGCAUGAAUGGUGCAACGAUACAACAGCUGUCUCUAUGAUUGACUCUGUGAAAUUGGAAUAACUGUGCAGAUACAGUUUACCUCUAGUUGGACGAGAAGACCCUAUGCAGCUUUACUGUUACUAGUUAAACAGGUAUAUUGGCAGCAUUUUUUAGAAUAAAAGGUAAUCGAUUGUAUAGAAGUGAAAUACCUUUACUUGCUUACUAUAUUUGGAUUAUGUGGCUAGGAGACAGUUUAUGUUAUGCGGGGCACAGACCCCAUAAAGAGUAGAUGGGAGUGUCUAAGGAUUUUUAUGUUGAUUGUGGCCGCUUAUUAAAAAACAUAUUUUUUAAUAAAAGCUCGUUUUUUGGUGCCUUAUCUCUUAGGGGUUUGGGCAGUAAAUUAACGAAUCCCUAUAGUCCUUUCUUUUGUUUUUAUAAAAAACAUAGUAAAUAGGAGGCGGAUUAGGUAUAAAACCAGGUAAUCUGGAAUAAAUACAAAGGGGAUCACAAUUAUUAAUUUUUUUGUUAUCUCGGCCUACCAUACCAAUGGUAAAUUUUAAGCCGCUCCGCUGUAUUUUAUUUAGGGGGGUUAAUAAAAAGGAGUCACAAUUUUUUUUUGCCUACCCCCAUUUUUUGAAAAGAAUUGGGGCUUAGCGUAUAAAAAAUAAAGAAGAUAAUUUUUGUUUGCAUGUAUUUUAUAACAUAGUUGUAUGUAAUCGUGUUCAAGUAACGACCCGUUAGUCGUACAUAUUAUUGAAAGGGUAAGAUUUAAGCUAUAGUGAAAUUAGCUUUAGUCAUAAAGAAAAAAGUAUCCUCUGAUGUUGGUUGAUUGCUAAUUAUAGAGAUUUUUUCCUAUAAGAUAAUCAAGAAGGCAACUACUUUUUUUUUCUAGUUAUUAAUUACUACACCUAGGGAAGUAUUUUUAAUAAUAAUGUAAACUAUCAACGAAGUUUAACGGCUUAAUCUUGCUUUACUGUUUGAUUCACAACAAAUCUUACAGUCGCGUAAGCGGGGCAUAGGAUCACAAGACACAUAAAGGAAAGGUCUUGGAUUUUUGGAAAAGCUACGCUAGGGAUAACAGGCUAAUUUGCGCAAGAGUGUACUUAAUGAGUGCGCGGUUUGGCACCUCGAUGUCGGCUUAACUUCUCCUCUGGGAUGCAGGACCUCGGUAGGGUUCGACUGUUCGUCGAUUAAUAAGUUACAUGAGCUGGGUUAAAUACGUCGUGAGACAGUAUGGUUUCUAUCUUCUAGAGGGAAUUAGAAUAAAAUAAGGAGUAACCUAGUACGAAAGGAACAUGGGGAAUUAAGUUAUUCUGGGUAAUACUGGGGUAGACUUUAUUAACCUAUGGUUUAUCUGUUGUUUAUAUGCCCGAUAUUAAUUUAGGUAUAAUCGAUCGUGGAUUAGUUUUAUUAACUAACUUUUUUUUAUACAGGGAUACUACUGUCACUCAGGUAGGUUUGUAAUUUUAGUGAAGGGGAUAGAAACUAUAGUUAUGUUAUAUAGUAUAGGCACGGCAGGAAAGCUAAGUUAGUCCAAGAUAAGUGCUGAAUCCAUAUAGGCACGAGGCUUACCUUAAGAUAUUUCUUCAAUAGACGUUAUAUAAUAUGACGAAGAAUACCUCUUUGAAGAGAAAGAGCACUAUUCAGAUAGCUUUUCUCUAUACUCAUCUGGAGAUGUUUAGGAAUAGAG
rnacentral:rRNA from 1 species